GACGAACGCUGGCGGCGUGCCUAAUACAUGCAAGUAGAACGCACAGUUUAUACCUUAGCUUGCUACACCAUAGACUGUGAGUUGCGAACGGGUGAGUAACGCGUAGGUAACCUGCCUGGUAGCGGGGGAUAACUAUUGGAAACGCUAGCUAAUACCGCAUAAUAUUAAUUAUUGCAUGAUAAUUAAUUGAACGGUGCAAUUGCACCACUACCAGAUGGACCUGCGUUGUAUUAGCUAGUAGGGGAGGUAACGGCUCACCUAGGCGACGAUACAUAGCCGACCUGAGAGGGUGAACGGCCACACUGGGACUGAGGAAAGGCCCAGAAUCCUACGGGAGGCAGCAGUAGGGAAUCUUCGGCAAUGGACGAAAGUCUGACCGAGCCACGCCGCGGGAGUGAAGAAGGUUUUCGGAUCGUAAAGCUCUGUUGUAAGAGAAGAACGGGUGUGAGAGUGGAAAGUUCACACUGUGACGGUAUCUUAACAGAAAGGGACGGCUAACUACGUG
rnacentral:rRNA from 1 species